CGCUGGCGGCACGCCUAACACAUGCAAGUCGAACGAAGUAGCAAUACUUAGUGGCAGACGGGUGAGUAACAUGUAGGUAUCUGCCCUUUGGCCUGGAAUAACACGAGGAAACUUGUGCUAAUACCGGAUAAGUCUUUACGGAGAAAGCUUUAUGCACCAUUGGAUGAGCCUGCACUUGAUUAGUUUGUUGGUGGGGUAAUGGCCUACCAAGACUGUGAUCAAUAGCUGAUUUGAGAGGAUGAUCAGCCACAUUGGGACUGAGACACGGCCCAAACUCCUACGGGAGGCAGCAGUGGGGAAUCUUGCACAAUGGAGGAAACUCUGAUGCAGCGAUGCCGCGUGAGUGAAGAAGGCCUUUGGGUUGUAAAGCUCUUUCGUCGGGGAAGAAAAUGACUGUACCCGAAUAAGAAGGUCCGGCUAACUUCGUGCCAGCAGCCGCGGUAAUACGAAGGGACCUAGCGUAGUUCGGAAUUACUGGGCUUAAAGAGUUCGUAGGUGGUUGAAAAAGUUAGUGGUGAAAUCCCAGAGCUUAACUCUGGAACUGCCAUUAAAACUUUUCAGCUAGAGUAUGAUAGAGGAAAGCAGAAUUUCUAGUGUAGAGGUGAAAUUCGUAGAUAUUAGAAAGAAUACCAAUUGCGAAGGCAGCUUUCUGGAUCAUUACUGACACUGAGGAACGAAAGCAUGGGUAGCGAAGAGGAUUAGAUACCCUCGUAGUCCAUGCCGUAAACGAUGUGUGUUAGACGUUGGAAAUUUAUUUUCAGUGUCGCAGGGAAACCGAUAAACACACCGCCUGGGGAGUACGACCGCA
rnacentral:rRNA from 1 species